AUUGAACGCUGGCGGCAGGCUUAACACAUGCAAGUCGAGCGGAGAUGAGGUGCUUGCACCUUAUCUUAGCGGCGGACGGGUGAGUAAUGCUUAGGAAUCUGCCUAUUAGUGGGGGACAACAUUCCGAAAGGAAUGCUAAUACCGCAUACGUCCUACGGGAGAAAGCAGGGGAUCUUCGGACCUUGCGCUAAUAGAUGAGCCUAAGUCGGAUUAGCUAGUUGGUGGGGUAAAGGCCUACCAAGGCGACGAUCUGUAGCGGGCCUGAGAGGAUGAUCCGCCACACUGGGACUGAGACACGGCACAGACUCCUACGGGAGGUAGCAGUGGGGAAUAUUGGACAAUGGGGGGAACCCUGAUCCAGCCAUGCCGCGUGUGUGAAGAAGGCCUUAUGGUUGUAAAGCACUUUAAGCGAGGAGGAGGCUACUGAGACUAAUACUCUUGGAUAGUGGACGUUACUCGCAGAAUAAGCACCGGCUAACUCUGUGCCAGCAGCCGCAGUAACAC
rnacentral:rRNA from 1 species